rnacentral:rRNA from 1 species
GAGGAAUAUUGGGCAAUGGAGGCAACUCUGACCCAGCCAUGCCGCGUGCAGGAAGACUGCCCUAUGGGUUGUAAACUGCUUUUAUACAGGAAGAAACCGCUCUACG